rnacentral:rRNA from 1 species
GACGAACGCUGGCGGCGUGCUUAACACAUGCAAGUCGAACGGUAAGGCCCUUCGGGGUACACGAGUGGCGAACGGGUGAGUAACACGUGGGUGAUCUGCCCUGCACUUCGGGAUAAGCCUGGGAAACUGGGUCUAAUACCGGAUAGGACCAUUGCCUGCAUGGGUGGUGGUGGAAAGCUUUUGCGGUGUGGGAUGGGCCCGCGGCCUAUCAGCUUGUUGGUGGGGUGAUGGCCUACCAAGGCGACGACGGGUAGCCGGCCUGAGAGGGUGACCGGCCACACGGGGACUGAGGUACGCGCCAGACUGCUACGGGAGGCAGCAGUGGGGAAUAUUGCACAAUGGGCGCAAGCCUGAUGCAGCGACGCCGCGUGAGGGAUGACGGCCUUCGGGUUGUAAACCUCUUUCAGCGCCGACGAAGCGCAAGUGACGGUAGGUGCAGAAGAAGGACCGGCCGACUACGUGCCAGCAGCCGCGGUAA